AAUCUUUCUCACAACAAACUAAUAGGCGGUCUUGAGCAACUGCCUUGGGGUUAUAUUACUUAUCUUGAUCUCCAAUACAAUAAGCUGGAUGGAUCGUUGCCCACCUUGAUGUGUAGUUCCACCUCUCUUCAUAUUCUAAAUCUGUCUCACAACAAAUUGAGUGGUGUACUACCCAGUUGUCCUCCACAUAGGAAUAUUCUUUCAGUGUUGGAUCUGCGGAGGAAUAAAAUUCAAGGAAACAUUCCAGCAACCUUGUCAAAUUUCUAUAAUCUGGAAACCAUUAAUUUGAAUGGAAACCAAUUAGAAGGAGGCAUUCCUUCUUCUUUUGCUGAAUUUGAUUCAUUAGCCGUUCUUGAUCUUGGAAAUAAUCAGAUAAAUGAUACAUUCCCCCGGUGUUUGGAAGCUCUUCCAAAUCUCCAAGUUCUUGUUCUCAAAUCAAACAAGUUUUAUGGUCUUAUAAACACGAGUUCUCAGGUUGUACACCCAUUUCCUAGCUUGAGAAUCAUUGAUCUUUCGUACAACAAGUUUUCAGGUGCACUGCCAGAAAAAUAUUUCAGAAACUUCAAGGCUAUGAUGAAUGGUGAAGUGAAUAAGGUAAAUCGUAGUUAUAUGGAGCAGGAGGAUUAUUACAGGGAUUCCACAGCUCUAGUGAUUAAAGGCAUGGAGAUUGAUUUAGAAAGAAUUUUGACUGUGUUCACAACUAUUGAUGUAUCAAAGAACAAUUUUGAUGGGGAGAUAGCUGAAUACUUUGGAAAUCUUGUAUCACUCAGAUUUCUUAAUCUUUCUCACAAUUAUCUCACAGGCCACAUACCACGCUCGAUUGGAAAAUUGACUGUGCUGGAGUCACUAGACCUCUCAUCCAACCAACUUAAAGGAGAAAUUCCUCCGCAGCUCACUAGUGUAUAUUCACUUGCAGUUCUCAAUCUGUCUUGCAACCAACUUAGAGGACGUAUUCCAGAAGGGUGGCAAUUCGAUACGUUUGAAAACAGCAGCUACGCUGGUAACUUUGGGCUGUGCGGACAUCCCUUGUCGAAAAAGUGUGAAUCUUAUGUUAAAACACAAGAAGAAGACGAAGAAGAUGAGGAUGAAUGUCACUUUUUCAGUGGUUUUACUUGGGAAGCGGUGGUGAUUGGAUAUGGGUGUGGAGUGGUGCCUGCAUUUAUUAUUGGGUACCUGAUGUUGCUGGCACAGAAACCAAAAUGGUUUGCUGGAAUCAUUGGCAGGGAAUUGGGCCUGAAGAUGAGGAGGAUGGAGAUUAGAAUGCGAUAACUAAAGGUUUGCUGUAAUCUGUAUCCCAUUCCCAGGUCUUGAAUAUUCUGUGAUAAUAUAGUAAUAUCUGGUCUCAUAUAAUUCUAUAUUUGCACCUGUAGACGUUUACAGAUUGGAGAGGCAUGAACAUUUUGGCAUGCAAGUUGAUGGGAAAAGCAGGAUUCAAAUGCAUUGGAAUCAACAACUGCGGUGUUGUAGGCAGCCAAGUUAAUAAACCACUACUUCAGCUGUUUUGCAUCUUCUGUGAUUUUAAAUUUUACAUUUUACAAUAUAAGUCAAAAGAUACAAGUUCAAUAUACAAGUUUUGUUUUGUUUAGUUCCAGCCUAUAAACACUUCAGUAGAUACCAGAGGAGAAAUGGAUACAAUCAAUGUCGGAAUUGGUCUUUAUAGUUGAAACAAAGACUACCAGAUCAUUACCAAUAUCAACUAGGCAUGUUGUUUAACGGGGAACUCAUAACUGGACAAUAAUUUUAAUAAUUUAGAAUUUGUGUAAUUUAUUACUGGUCUAAAGGACACGGGAUGGGUUUGCAAUAGUUAUUUGGAAACAGCUUGCUUAGAUAAAUGGACAGUGUUUUAUAAUAAUAGAGUCCGGGGCCUAUCAAGUGAUUGUUAGAGCAAUUUAUCUACUGUUUUUUAUAGCGGAAAAACAUAAACACUUGGUUUUUUAGUGCAUGCAGAGGGUCCAUCAGUCCAUCCGCAAUUUACACACUCAUUAUUCCAGGAUUCUCUGUUUCAUGGUAUUCUGCUGUGUAAAGAACAAUCACUUGUCAGGACCACCUCCCAUAAUCACAAGAGAUUCUAUAGGAAAAGAAGCAACAGACAUGGUUGGAUUGUUUGUUUUCUGUAUUCUUCUGCUAAAAGGCUACCCUUUUAAAGUCUCUUUUAUAUAUAAAGAUACAAAAAAAAAAAAAAAAAUCAUACUAAUAAAGAUUCUUUUUGGCUCCUCCAGAACUGGCCAGUUUUUCCUUAACUUUGCUUCUCCCACAUAAGACUAUAAGAAUAUUACAAUGAAAUAGUUGAUUAUCGUUGAACUUGCCAAUCUGUUGACUUGGUAAUUUGAAUUUGAUAAGCUCUGAAUUGUAAGUAACGAGGAACAAGAUGACAUGAUGGUAAAUAGAAAAUACAAGAUGUCCAUCAACAUAGCAAAGAAAUAUUUUUCAGCCGGACGACAUAUCAGGAUGUUCAUUACUAAAACAUGUUUGCUGAUGCUUUAUAAUGUACAAUUUACAAUAUAUCACAGGUUGUAAUAUACACUACUAGAUGAUUUUAUGGCCUGUUUAUCCUUAAUCGCUAUCAUGAACUAAUGAAAAUUUAUAAAAGUGGAUCACAUUUGCAGUGAUGCCGCUAUUUUUCCUGAAUUUCCCUAGUUGUGAAGAUUCCCUAGUUGUGAAGAUUGUCUAAAUCAUGUUAGAGUCGCUGCCAUCAGUGAAUGCAUUCAAUGGCUUACUGAAACUGGUAGAGAUACUAAAUUGCAAGAUGACAGAGUGUCCAUGCGUCAUUUUAAGGAUCAAGAUGUGUAGCUGUGACUUGUAUUUUAAAAUUGCAAGAUGUUUUACAAUGGUAGCAGAGGAGGGCUGGGGAUUUAUUGGGUCAGUUCGAAGCACACAAGUAGAAUUGGUUGUGGCAGAGCAAGAAGCUGAGCACGACCAUAAGAAUUUGAACUCUGAGGCUAAUUUGACUCUACUUGUACAAGUUAAUAUAUGAUGGCACAAGUUAAUAUAUGAUGGCAGCAAAGGAGUUUCUUACAUGCGCCAGUUUACAGUUCUUAGAAACAUCUUAUUAUGCUUAUUUGUACUAAACAGAUAUUAGUAGUCCACCAGAAACAAGGAGAUUUGAUAUAUCCCGGACUCUGAGGCCGGUGACAGUCUAUGAGAGGGCAUGUAAUCGAUGGAACAAGGAGGAUUCAGAUACAUUGGAUUCAUUAACAGAACUUCUUCAGAGCCGGAGUCACUUCCAGAUGCUCUCUUCUGGUAGAUAUCUAUUGGAGAAGUAAAAACAUCUCAUAAUCAUCAUUCAGCACUUGCUCUGAGUUUGUUGAUCAACCAUGCGAUGUUGAAGGCAGCUCUUAUCUUAUCUGCAAUCAAGUUAAUGAACCACCACCUCAGUUGUUAAGCAUCUUUCACCAUUUUACAUUUUACAACUCACAAUAAAAGAUUACAUGUGUAUUAAUCUGAUCAUCAUUUGUUUGAUCAAUAUAGAAGUUCGGCUCUGUUUACUUCUAUCCCUGGCUCUUCAUUUCUAGAACAUUGUUGAUACUUUUUAUUGAAUGGUUAAGAAUAUUCCAUAGAUUUUUAUAUUCAGUGCUAGAUGAUUUUAUGUCCUGUUUUCAUUCCAUUCAUGAACUAAUUAAAAAUUUGAAAGUGAUGCCCACCUUUCUGGACCUGCAUUCCAUGACCACAAACUCCAAUUCUGCCCAAAAAUUGCAGCUGUUUCGUAAUAUUUUUCUACGUGUUCUUUUGUUUGGACUUGUUUGCUGGACCAUGCAUAUUGUUUUGAUACAAACAUCUUUGUUGAUGUUAACACUCAUUGUUAGUAGCCCAUUCUUUACGGCAGACAUUGAAUUGGAUUUACUUGAAGAAAUGAAGGUUUAAGAAAGUUCAGAGCAAUUUGUUGAUUAUUUCCUUCCCUAGAAACUGCACUCCAGCAUCAAAGUACCUUUCAAAGACUCUACACAUAAUCUCUUGAUUAUCAAAGACUUGGUCUUGCAUAUACUGAUAUACACUGAAUAUAGGUUUCUUUCAUUUCCUUGAAAUUGCAUUUUUCGAAGUAACUCUCCAGACUCAUUCCCGUCACUUCUCAAAGUCUUAGUCCUCAUCAAUACAUUCACAUAAUAUCACACCAAUUUGCUCAUGCUCAGAUGGGCUUUUCUUACAAACCACAUAUGUUCACUUCUCAGAGUCUUAGUCCUCGUCAAUGUAUAGAGAUAAUAUCUCACCAUUUGCUAGUGCUACAAAUCAGUUUCUCCUACAACCACACAUAAUCGGAGAAAAGUCUGUCAAGUGUCAAGUGGACUUGAAAGACCCUUCUGCAUGGAUUAUUGUAUGUCAUGAAUGCCUUCUGAUAUCCCUGAAAGUGCAAGCAAGUUAUAAAAGUAGCUGGGCAGACUCUUUCUCAUCAAUACAUUCACAUUCAAAGCGGGCGUUGAUAUGCCUCCCUAAUUUUCUAAUGCCCUAGACGGAAUUCUAUUACAAUCCACAUAUGAUGGGUAGCGAUCAUCAAUUCAAAGAAGACACUAUCAGCAGCUUGCAGGAAAUGACCCCUCUGCAUGGAUUAUCGAAGAAAGAAACUUAUACCUAUAAAGCUGUAGAAAACCAAUGGUAAGCAUAACUGCAUAUAAGAUACAAAACUAAAUUUAAUACAAGACUCGUUCUGAGCAUUGGAAAAUAUGCUUUUAUUGCAGCCAAUGUAUUAGUGAAAAGAAUUAAAUUUAAAUUAAUUGUAGACUGCAAAUAUAAGAUUAGGAGAGUUUCUACAACCCACAAAUUAGUAGACAGACUAAUAUGAUUAGUUGAGACCAUCAAUCUGGAGAAACUGUUUCUACAAUGACCCAUCUGUAUGAAUUAUUGAAGAAAGAAACUUAUACCUACAAUGUAAAGGAAAUAAUCACGAGUAUAUUGCAUUUUUAAUCCAAAUUGUAUAUGAUUCUAUCUGUGCUACUGAUAGUAAAUAAUAAAUCUACAACGGGCCUUGCAGUUAAUCAAGGUAUUUAACUCUACCUUUCUACAUUGUUGAAUAGUUUGAAUAAAAUAAUUGUAAUAAAUUUUUUGCUGGAUGCUGUGUGAGUUUACCAGAGCUUAUCUUGGUGAGAAGUCUGAGUACAAGGCAAUGAGCAGGAAACAACAUAGGGAGUUUACAACUAGAAGUAUCUAUUCUCCCCUAGUCUUUUUGUGAACAUCAAGAGGCCAUUCAUUUUGCUCACAAACCAGUUAAAAAUGGCAGGACUACACAUAAUGAAUCACGCAGUCACUUUAUGUGAGAAAAGAAAAAUGUCAGGACAGCAGCUCAAACGUUUAAAAAACUUCAUUAAUUAUUUUCUUUUAUUGAAACCACACUCAUCCAUCAAAGUAGCUCUCAAAGACUAAUUUCCAUCACCUUUUGAUUCUCAAAGUCUUCUUCUUCGUCUUUUACUGCUCCUAAAGUUCUUCCAUUGCAAGCCACAUAUUAGUAGACAUACUACAUCAACUCUGUGGAAAGAAACAAUCUAUACUUGAUCUUGAUGUACAAUGUUAUGAUGUAAAUGUAUAAUAUCAAAAUUAGGAAUAGUAGUCACGCGCUAAUUAAUAACCCUCUGCAGGGGUUAUUAAAGAAAGCAACUUAUAGUUUAAGUUGCUGAACAUUUGUGUGUGCCAAAUUUAAUUUCACACAUCAUUACUAGAUUUACACAUGGUAUUAGACAUCAGUACUAGUAUAAGAUGUUAAUCAAGUUUUAUAAUUUCUUUUAUUUCAGAUAACAAGUUUUUUUUUUUGUGGAAUUAAUUAUUUAUAUCAUGCAUUUGAGCUUUAAAAUUAGCUCUACAUAAAAGUUGGUCUAUUGCAGUAGACACUAAAAUGAUUUCGCUCAAAGAAACAAUGAUGUAUAUGAAGAUUUUCAGAACUGAAUUUCUUUCUAUUUCUAAAAAUUGCAUUCAAGAACCGAAAGUAGCUCACAAAGACUCAUUACAUCAUCUUUCAAUUCUCAUUGUCUUGGUCUUUGUCUUCUACUGCUCAAAAUUCUAUUACAGCCCACAUAUCAGUAUCAUAUACCUAAUCAUAAAUAGUAUUUAAUAUUUAACACAAUUGAAGAUUUGUCUCAGAGACUUACUUCCAUCACCUUAUGGUUCUCAAAGUCUUCGUCUUCUAAUGCUCCAAAAGUUCUAUUAGUUCAGGCCACAUAUUAGUAAACAGACUACAAUUCAUCCAAAAUGACCCCUCUUAUUGGACACUUUGAACACCUCUAUCUGUAUAUGCAUUGGAGAAGAAUUAUCAGCUAGUUAAAAUAACCUCUUCGCAUCAACUCUAUCGAAAGAAGCAAUUCAUACCUAAAGUACAAUGUUUGGAUAAAAUCAGGAAUAGCAACUGCACGCUAAUUUUUUAGUUGAAGCAGGCUACCUUGGUGUAAUUCAGUGAACAUCCCCGUAAUUUCUUGACAGGCCACAAUUAAGGAAGUUCACAGAAUUAAAUUCCAGAAGUAGCUCCCUGAGACAGAUUUGCAUCAUCUUUCCAUCCUCAAAGUUCUUUACACUUAUAUUAUAUUUCAUGUUUUAUUGUAAUGAACAUAGCAGUUUCCUGUUCAGUAAUAUUCCAGGCUCAGGUUCUUCAUUCCUAGUCUCUGUUACAUGUUUGCCACUAAAACGUAUUGAACAGUUAUUAGUUUAUGAUUGUAUUCCAUCUUGAAAGGAGAUCUCAAAGACUCAUUCCCAUAAUCUUAAGAAUCUCAAGUCUUGAUGAACUUGGCCUUCAUCAUAUUUGUACUCUUGUAAUUCCAUAUUAAUGAAGUUUAAAUAUUUAUUUCAAAAAAAAAUGAAGUUUAAAUAUUAAAAUUUUUAAUUUUAGUAAAUUUGUAAAAAUAGUAAAAUUUGUCUUAUUUAUAAUAUUAAUAAAUCUCUUACUUUCUCGUUACUGUAUUCAACUUAAUAAUUCUUACAAACACUUGUAAGUGCAUCACAUAAGUUAUGUAAAUUCAGAAUAAAUUAUGUCCGAUUUCUUUAAGAGAGAUUGUUAUAUUGUUUUUACUUUAAAAAUUGAAUUAUCUUUUAUUUUUAAUAUAAUUUACAACUAAAAAAUAUUUAAUAUAUUUUCUUAUUUUUGUAAUAUGACUAAACAUAUCUUAAAUACACCUUUUUCCUAUAUAUAUAUAUAUAUACAUCUAUUAUAUUUUUUAUGAAAUAUAAUUACAAAUUUUGAUUAUUAAACCGAAAACGAAGUUAUACAAUUUUUUUAUUUCAAAGAUCAUCUAAUAUAUCAUGUAAUAUCUCAACAUGAUUCUAUAACAGAAUAAUAAUCAUUCAGAAUUAUUCUGUUGUAGAAUCAGUUUCGAAACUAUACUUUUUUUUAUCAAAUUUUAAGUGUUAAAUUACUUAAAAUAGAUAUAUUUUAUAGUAUUCUAUAUUAGAAUCACGUUUUAUAUGUAUUUUAUAGCAGAAUUUAUAAUAAAAUUGAUGAUUUAUAAUGCCGCACUAUGUAACUUCAUAUAAAGAGUCCCUUUCUGGAAUGUUGGCAUAUAUAUAUACUAGCUUAAAACCCGUGCAAUGCACGGGCGGUUAUGAUAUUUAUUAUUUUAUCGUAUAUAUUCCAGAUUUAACUAAUUUUAUUGAAAUUAAAAUUGUGAUAGAAUAAUGUGAUUAAAUAAAACAUUUAUUUAACGACUGAAAAAUUCUUAAUAGUUAAAUCCGUCAAAUAGCUAAUUUAAAAUUAAGUCAAAUAUAUAUUUUAAUAAAAAUGUUAAAAUAUAUUAUAUUUUUUAUAUGUUAUAAUUCAAGAAGACACAUAAACCUAGAUAUAAACAACCCAAUCAACCUUUUAAUAUUUUGUUAUUAAUAAUAUAGAACAAAUCCUUAAAAUAGAAUCAGAUAAGUAUAAAACAUAUUGUAAGCUAAAGGGAAGUGUACUGAUCCAUAACACUAACCUAAUUUAUUUAUUUUUAAACAGCACUAACCUAAUUUAUAAAUUAAGGAGGUCCAUGGAUCAAAUAUGAACCGGUUUAUAAAACUCGACCGACCAACUGAACUUUUCAGUUUAUGUUUUAAUAGUACAAUAAUAUAUAGUAUAGUAUAGAUUUGUAAUUUUAACUUUUAAAUUUAGAUCAGUAGAGCAUUUAAAGUAACGUUAAUAUAUUUUGAUCGACAAAUAUCGCCAUUUAUUUAAUAAUAUUGUUAUAUUUUUAUAUAUAUGUCGCCCGUGUUAAUUGUAGUAGAUCAAUUUUUUCAGUCAGUAAAUCUUAAAAAAAAAAUGUGUUUUAGUUAAAAAGGUAAUUACUAUUGCUCGAUGUUAUUUUAGAAAAUUGUGUUUUUUUAGUUAGAAAAUAUAAAAAAGAUAACAUAUUCUAGUUUAAAAGAAUAUUUAGUUAUAUAGAUAGGCCUGUAUUUCGGCCCAAAGUUAAAAAGAAUACUCCCUCCGUCCCCUCCAAUUCUUAUCGUUUGGAAUGGAGUGCUCGGCACGCAUUUUAAGACUCAUAUAAAGUAUAGUUCCAUAACUCAUUUUCAUAAUUCUCUUUUUCUGAAUAAAAAUUUAAACAUUACAUUUUUAUUUAAAAAAAGAAAAUUUUAAAAAUAAGUUAUGGAACUAUACUUUAUAUAAGCCUUAAAAUGCGUGCCGAGCACUCCAAUCCAAAUGAUAAGAAUUGGAAGAGACAGAGGGAGUAAUUAGUUAUGUCGAUAGACCCGUAUUCGGUCCAAUUACUUACAUACCAUAACUUUCAAUUUUCGAUUUUAAUAAUAUAGUAAACCUUAAAAAAGAUAAUGUAUUUUAGUUAAAAAGGUAAUAACUAUAUUGUUCGAUGUUAUUUUAUAAAAUUGAGUUUUUUAGUUAGAAAAUAUAAAAAAGAUAACAUAUUAUAGUUAAAAAGAAUAAUUAGUUAUAUAAAUAGGCCUUAUUUCGGCCUAAAGUUAAAAAUAAUAAUUGGUUAUAUAGAUAGGCCCGUAUUUCGGCCCAAAUUUUGACCGAUCAAACUUUCAAUGUUCGUAAUUACUGUUGCUCGAUGUUAUUUUAGAAAAUUGAGUUUUUUUAGUUAGAAACUUUAAAAAAGAUAACAUAUUCUGGUUUAAAAGAAUAAUUAGGUAUAUCGAUAGGCCUGUAUUUCGAUUUUCGGCCCAAAGUUAAUAAGAAUUAUUAGUUAUGUCGAUAGGCCCGUAUUCGGUCGAAUUACCGACAUACCAAACUUUCAAUUUUUUAUUUUAAUAGUAUAGUGAACCUUAAAAAAGAUAACGUAUUUUAGUUAAAAAGGUAAUAACUAUAUUGUUCGAUGUUAUUUUAGAAAAUUGAGUUUUUCUAGUUAAAAAAUAUAAAAAAGAUAACAUAUUAUAAUUAAAAAAAUAAUUAGUUAUAUAAAUAGGCCUUAUUUCAGCCCAAAGUUAAAAAUAAUAAUUAGUUAUAUAGAUAGUCCCGUAUUUCGGCCGAAAUAUCGACCGAUCAAACUUUCAAUGUUUCAGUUUUAAAAAUAUAGUAUAGCUUUCGGCCCAAAGUUAAAAGAAUAAUUAGUUCUACAGAUAAGCCCGUACUUCGGCCCAAGUACCGACCGACCGACCAAACUUUUAAUGUUUCGGCUUUAAUAGUACUAACUUAUAGCCCGUGCAAGGCAUGGGAGCUUUUUAGUAAUUUAUAAACUUUUUAAAUAUAUUUUAAAUUAUGUGAAAAUUUUUAAUUUACAAAUAAUAAAUUAAAAUUUUCAAUUAAAUAAAAUUUGAAAUUAUGAUUUGUUUGCAAUUCCGAACUUUUGUAAAAAUAUAUAAUUUUUAUAUGAUGUUGGUACAAUUUAAAAUUUUAUCUUAAAUUUUAGUUGAAUCUAAUACAAAAUAUUAGUUUCCAUGAUUUAUUAGUUAUGAAUAACUUAAGCUAACGUAUUCGUCUUUAAUAAUAAAAAUAUUUAAUAGCAUGAGGUAAUGCAUAUUUGCAUAUAAUUUUUCAUUUUUCUUUUUUAAUAUAUAUACUUGAAUAAAAAUAUUUAUUUUAAAAAUAUUUUUAUGUUAAAUUAUUAAUCUUUAUAUAUAAAAUAUAUUCCCUACGGGCUACGUCCCAUCAUAUUAUUUAGAGUUUUUUUUUUGGGAUGUACCAUCAAAUUCUUUACAUUUCAAAACUUACCAAAUAGGUCCCACCACUACACAACUUUUCCUACCUUUUCACACUACUUUUACUCCUUUUUCACAAUACCUUUACUCUACUAUCUUCUUUUUAUACAUUAAAAAUUAAUAGGUCCCACUACUUACCCAUUUUUCUUUUUAUUUUCCACUACUUUGUACAUAUAUCUUCACCUCCGUGCCCAAACCAAACAUAAAGAUUGGCUGGGACGGAAGGAGUAUUCAUUAAUAAUUUGAAUAACAUGCAUGCAAAUAGAAGGCAUAACAUGUCUGGAUUAGGAAAAUUUGUUAAAAAUAUGCGUUAUAUUUUUCACACUUGUUUCUAAUUUGGAUAAAAAUAUUUUUGUGAUCGUGCAAUUUGUAUGAUUCUACAAAUAAAAAUGGGAAUAUUUAUUUUAGAUUAAAAUAACAUAAACACGUGAAAGAAAUAAUUUGUUUUGGAUUCAGAAAAGAAGAUAUCAGUUGCCUAGCUGCCUUAUAAGUUCUAAUCUAACAGUGCUUAUUUGAUCAAUAUACGAUCUAACGGAUGAUAAGCUUUUGGACCAGAGGACCAUGCGACCAAAUUAUCUCCCUUACGCUUAUUAUAUAAUACUAGCUUAUAGCCCGUGCAAGGCACGGGAGCUUUUUAAUUAUUUAUAAAUUUUUUAAAUAUAUUUUAAAUGGUGUGAAAAAAUUAAUUUAUAAAUAAUAAAUUAAAAUUGUACAUAUCAUGCCAAAGUAUUAAAUUCUUUCUAUCAAAUUUUAAACCAACUCCUAUUAGAUUAUAUUUAUAAAAGUUCUAAUCUAACAGUGCUUAUUUGAUCAAUAUACGAUCUAACGGAUGAUAAGCUUUUGGACCAGAGGACCAUGCGACCAAAUUAUCUCCCUUACGCUUAUUAUAUAAUAUAGCUUAUAGCCCGUGCAAGGCACGGGUGCUUUUUAAUUAUUUAUAAACUUUUUAAAUAUAUUUUAAAUGGUGUGAAAAAAUUAAUUUAUAAAUAAUACAUUAAAAUUGUAUUCUCAAAAUGGUGUGAAAAAAUUUAAUUUAUAAAUGUUAAAUUAAAAUUGUAUGUAUCAAUGCCAAAGUAUUAAAUUCUUUCUAAAUUUUAAAUUAUUUUAAGUAGUGUGACGCCAACUCCUAUUAGAUUAUAUUUAUAAAUGUAUUUUAUAUUAGAAUUAUUAUAAUGUGAUUUAAAUAUUUUUCUAAAAAUUUUUAUGGUUCGAGAUUAAAAUUGAUAAACACAAUUUGUUUUGAAUUAAGAAGAUGAAUCAUAAACAUGCAAUAAGAUGGUAGAAUUUGCUUUGGAUUAAAAAAUUUUUUUUGUAUUUGUUCCUCACAUAAAUCGGGCUUAUUAAUUUUGAAAUAUAUUAGGUAAAAAUAAUUUUGUGACUGUGCGAUUUAUAUGAUUCUACAAAUAAAAUUGGUAGAAAAUAUUUAUUUUGGAUCAAAAAAAAUCAUAAACACGGGAAAUACUUAAUUUGUUUUGGAUUCAGAAAAGGAUUUAUAAACAUGCAAGUAGAUAUCAGUUGUGUUAUGGAACAAAAGUUAAUUUUGUUCUAAUCCAACGGUGCUUAUUUGUUCAAUAUACGAUCCGAUGGAUAAAAAUAAUCUUGUGACGGUGUGAUUUAUACGAUUCCACAAUUAAAAUUUGUAGGAAAUAUUUAUUUUGAAUUAAAAAAAAACAAAAACACAUGAAAGACAGAAUUUGUUUUGAAUUCAGAAAAAGAAUUAUAAACAUGCAAGUAGAUGUCAGUUUCCUUAUAGAACAGAAUUUAAUUUUGUUCUAAUCUAACGGUGCUUAUUUGUUCAAUAUACGAUCCAACGGCUUUUGGACCACAGGACCUUGCGACCAAAUUAUCUCCCUUACGCUUAUUAUAUAUAAGUAUAUAAUAAGUAUAUAAUAGUAUAGAUAUGCUAGUCUUAAAUAUAUUUUUUUCCUAUAUAUAUGCUAGCCUCUUGAGACGUGAUCAUCCCAAACAAAAAAAUUUAACGGAAAAAGAAAAUGAGGAAUUCCAUCCUCUGUUUUUCCACCAUCUGUUUGUUGCUCAUCUUCCUGCAGUUGCAGCACAACCUAGUGGCUUGUUCAUUAAGCCCCCACUUGCAGAAACUUGCCUUGUUCCAUUUUAACCAAACCUUAACAAUCAGUACUACUAGCUGGGAUUGCGAAUACGUUUCCUACGAAGAGAAUGCAGUGUAUGAAAUUCCUUCACGGGCAAAGACAAAGAAUUGGAGCAUGAGUUCUGAUCACUGCACAUGGGAUGGAGUUAGCUGCGACGACAAGACAGGGGACGUUAUCGGACUGGAUUUAAGUUGCAGUCAGCUGGAAGGAGCCAUUCUUCCUAACAGCGCUCUCUUCCAGCUCUCUCAUCUCCGCUUCCUCAAUCUUUCUCAAAACGACUUUUACCUCGCCAGUCAGUUCCCUCAGGAAUUUGGUUUCUUUGCAAAAGGUUUGACGCAUCUCAACCUCUCUAAUACUGGAUUAUCAGGGAGAGUUCCCUCGGGAAUCUCUCAUUUGUAUAAACUUGUCUCACUUGAUCUCAGUGACAACUCAGUCUCACUUGAUCUCAGUCAGAACUAUGAGGCUAAACUUGAAGAAGAAGUGUUUAAAUCAGUGUUGCAGAAUUUAACUCAUCUUGAAGUGCUUAAUCUUAAUGGAGUUAAGAUCUCCUCUGUUUUGCCCCUGAAUAUCUCUACUUCUUUAAGAGUUCUUCAAUUGAGGUAUACUUAUAUACACGGAGUAGUACCCCAAGAGGUUUUCCACCUUCCCAACUUGGAAUUACUUGAUUUAUCACUUAAUGACGACCUGAGAGCAACAUUACCCAAAGUUAAGUGGGGAAGUAAAGUUACUCUCCAACACCUUCAUCUUUCAUACAUCAACAUAGAUGGAGGUAUACCUGACUCAAUAGGCUUUUUGGAGUCAUUAGUCAGUUUGGAUUUGAGCAGCUGUAAUUUGUCUGGGCCUAUACCAAGAUCCAUUGGGCACCUCGUUCAACUUACUCGCUUGGACCUCUCUCAAAAUAUUCUCAAUGGCCCAGUUCCAACAUUUUUUACAGACCUUACAGACUUAAGAUAUAUCUCCCUUUGGCAAAACAAUUUCACUGGAUCCCUACCUCGUUCGUUGUUUCACCAUCCAUCCUUAGAGUCCUUGUCUCUGGAUAAUAAUGCAUUCACGGGUCAACUACAUGAAUUUGAUUCUUCUCGCUCACGGCUGCAAUCUUUUUCUUGUUCCAACAAUUCACUCUAUGGAUCCAUUCCACAUUCUUUUUCUCAGCUUGUGAAUCUCACUGUCCUAGAUUUGUCAUCAAACAAUUUCAGCGGGGUUUUGGAUUUGGAAAUGUUUUCAGGCCUCGAAUCUCUAAAACGUCUUCAUCUUUCUGAUAACAGUCUUUCAGUGAGAAGUACAAUUAUGGCCACUCUCCCUCCUAAUCUUUACUCCUUGGGCUUGUCAUCUUGCAACAUGAAAGAGUUCCCCCACUUUUCAAGAGAUGCAAACAUCUCCCUGAAUCUUAUAGACCUAUCAAACAAUAAAAUUGAAGGGGAAAUUCCACACUGGAUUGGGUCGGUGGGGGAUUUCUAUGGAAUCCCUUAUCUGAAUCUAUCUCACAACAAACUAAUAGGCGGUCUUGAGCAACUGCCUUGGGGUUAUAUUCAAUAUCUUGAUCUCCAAGACAACAAGCUGAAUGGCUCCUUGCCCACCUUGAUGUGUAAUUCCAGCUCUCUUGAGAUUCUAAAUCUCUCUCACAACAAUUUGAGUGGUGUACUCCCCAUUUGUCAUACAAAUUUGACUCAGCUUUCGGUGUUGGAUCUGCGGAGGAAUAAAAUUCAAGGAAUCAUUCCAGCAACCUUGUCAAAUUUCCGUUAUCUGGAAACUAUUAAUUUGAAUGGAAACCGCUUACAAGGAAGCAUUCCUUCUUCUUUUGCUGAAUUAGAUUCUUUAGCCGUCCUUGAUCUUGGAAAUAAUCAGAUAAAUGAUACAUUCCCCCUGUGUUUGGAAGCUCUUCCAAAACUCCAAGUUCUUGUUCUCAAAUCAAACAAGUUUCAUGGUAUAAUAAACCAGAGUUCUGAGACAAAACACCCAUUUCCUAGCUUAAGAAUCAUUGAUCUUUCGUACAAUGAGUUUUCAGGUGCACUGCCAGAAAAAUAUUUUAGAAACUUCAAGGCUAUGAUGAAUGCGGAAGUGAAUAAGAUAAAUCGUAGCUAUAUGGAGCAUCGGUAUUACAGUGAUUCCACAGCUCUGGUGAUUAAAGGCAUGGAUAUUGAUUUACAUAGAAUUUUGACUGUGUUCACAACUAUUGAUGUAUCAAAGAACAAUUUUGAUGGGGGGAUAGCUGAAUACUUUGGAAAUCUAGUAUCACUCAGAUUUCUUAAUCUUUCUCACAAUUAUCUCACAGGCCACAUACCAUGCUCGAUUGGAAAAUUGACUGUGCUGGAGUCACUAGACCUCUCAUCCAACCAACUUGAAGGAGAAAUACCUCAGCAGCUCACUAGUGUAUAUUCACUUGCAGUUCUAAAUCUGUCUUGCAACCAACUUAGAGGACGUAUUCCAGAAGGGUGGCAAUUCGAUACGUUUGAAAACAGCAGCUACGCUGGUAACUUUGGGCUGUGCGGACAUCCCUUGUCGAAAAAGUGUGAAUCUUAUGUUAGGACACAAGAAGAAGAUGACGAAGAUGAGGAUGAAUGUCACUUUUUCUGUGGUUUUACUUGGGAAGCGGUGGUGAUUGGAUAUGGGUGUGGAGUGGUGCCUGCAUUUAUCACUGGCUACCUGAUGUUGCUGGCACGGAAACCAAAAUGGUUUGCUGGAAUCAUUGGCAGGGAAUUGGGGCUCAAGAUCAGGAGGAUGGAGAUUAGAAUGCGAUACUAAAGGUUUGCUGUAAUCUGUAUCCCAUUCCCAGGUCUUGAAAAUUCUGUAAUAAUAUAUAGUAAUAUCUGCUCUCAUAUAAUUCUAUAUUUGCAGAUUCAGAUGGGACAAGCAGGAUCAGAUGCAUUGGAAUCAACCACUAGUACUUCAGCUGUUUUGUCAUUCUAAAUUUUACAUUUUACAAUAAAAGUCAAAAGAUACAAGUUAUGUAGUAUUGUUUUGUUCCAGCCUCAGGCUCUUCAUUUCUAAAACAUGUUUGCGGAUGCUUUACAAUGUACAAUUUACAAUAUAUCAAAGUUUUUAAUAUACACUACCAGAACUGGGUUACAUUGCAGUGUUGUCGCCAUUUUUCUGAAUUUCACUAGUUGGGAAGACUGUAUAAAUUAUGUUAGAGUCGCUGCUAUCAGUGAUCGCGUUCAACAACUUAUCUCAAACUGGUAAGAUUUACUAAAUUUUUAAUUUCACAAGCUGUUGAUAGAAUAGAAGAUGCCUCAGUUUAAGGAUCGAGAAUGUAUUAAUGAACUGUCCCAGCCCUGAGAAAUUCUCUUUGAUGGGGCUGCAGUUUCAAUAAAUCGCCUCUUGUACUCAGCCAUCAUACAGUGAACCACCGUCCGAUGGUCGAAAUUGGCGAAGCAUGAUGGCUUUAAAUCAGCCCAUAACCUGAUGGGGUGGCAUUUCUGUUCCCCAUUAGUACCAAUGCAGGGUGUCCCCUUCCAAAGCUACUCUGCAACAAUUUCCAACAUCUCGUAUUCACUUAACCCGUUCAGUAGACAACAAGGUUAGGAGCAAGAAUGAGUCGGUGUCUGGACAUGAGAUUAGGAAUACUAUUACCUCUGACUUCUGAGGCCCGUGACAGAUCGAAGAGGCAUGAAAGUUGGGGACAGGGGACGGCUGGUGCAUUGGAAUGAAAGUAAAAAACUUUUUCAGAGCCUGAUGCUCUCAAGGAUGCAGUCUAAUGAACAAGCGUAAUGAUGUCAUGUUAACUGUCAACCACCUAGUCAAAAUUACUUGAAAUGAUGAAAUUUAUGACAGUAAAUUUAUGAUGCUCUGAGUUUGUUGAUCAACCAAGCUAUGUUGUAGGCAGCUCUUAUCUGAUCUGCAAUCAAGUUAAUGAACCACUACCUCAGUUCAACAUUUUACAUUUUACAGCUCAGAAUAAAAGAUUACAUGUGUAUUAAUCUGAUCAUCAUUUGUUUGAUCAAUUUAGAAGUUCGGCUUUGUUUACUUCUAUCCCGGGCUCUUCAUUUCUAGAGCAUAUUUGUUGAUACUUUUUAUUGAACGGUUAAGAAUAUACCAUAGAUUUUUAUAUUCGGCGUAGAUGAUUUUAUGUCCUGAUUUCAUUCCAUUCAUGAACUAAUUAAAAAUUUGAAAGUGGGUCAUAUCUGGCAGUGAUGCCAGCCCUUCCUGACCUGCAUUUCAUGACCACAAACUCCAAUUCUGCCCAAAAAUUGCAGCUGUUUCGUAAUAUUUUUCUACGUGCUCUUUUGUUUGGACUUGUUUGCUGGACCAUGCAUAUGUUUUGAUACAUCUUUGUUGAUGUUAACACUCUUGUGUCAGUUACUGGACUCAUUGUUAGUAGCCCAUUCUUUACGGCAGACAUUGAAUUGGAUUUACUUGAAGAAAUGAAGGAUUAAGAAAGUUCAGAACAAUUUGUUGAUUAUUUCCUUCCCUAGAAACUGCACUCCAGCAUCAAAGUACCUUUCAAAGACUCCAGACAUCAUCUCUUGAUUAUCAAAGACUUGGUCUUGCAUAUACUGAUAUACCGUGAAUAUAGGUUUCUUUCAUUUCCUUGAAAUUGCAUUUUUUGAAGUAGCUUUCCAGACUCAUUCCCGUCACUUCUCAAAGUCUUAUUCCCCAUCAAUACAUACACAUAAUAUCACACCAAUUUGCUCAUGCUCAGAUGGGCUUUUCUUACAAACCACACAUGUUCACUUCUCAUAGUCUUAGUCCUCGUUAAUAUAUACAGAUAAUAUCCCACCAAUUUGCUGGUGCUACAAAUGGGCUUCUCCUACAAGUCUACAACUACACAUAAUCGGAGAAAAGUCUGUCAAAUGGAUCUUGAAAGACCCUUCUGCAUUGAUUAUCAAAGUAUAUUAUCUGUUAACAUAAAUGUAUUUUAUCAAAGUACUCUCUAAAUAAAAACUAGUAAUAGCAGUUACACAGUAAAAAUUUUUCCUCAAACAAUUACCACCUCAAAUGAGAUAGGCAACCUUAGAUUCUCCAAAAGUGCUUAUAUUGCAACCCUUGUGUAAUGACUAAUAACAGUCAUGAUUAGUAGACAGACCAUAAUUGCGAUGGUUCGAACUUUUUUACUUGAGCUGGAGAGAAGACUUUGAACUGCAGUGUUAGCUAGGAGUUUUUGCACCGUUCCUUUCCCUGUCUUGAAAUUGCAUUUCAGCUCCAAAAGUAGAUUUCAGAGACUGAUUCAUGCCAUCUUUUAAUUUUCAAUGGCAUAGUCGCGAUGACACUCUCACUUCUCACAUUGGAAAACUUUUACCAACACAAUGAAAUUUAUAAGAGUAAAAUGCAAAGCGGUGGUUAAAUUUAUAAGAGUUCUAUCGAAGUCUAGUUUACCUAAAUAACUGCAAAAUGGUUAGGGUUGUUCACGAACCGAGCCGAGCCGAGUUUUGACCGAACCGAGCCAAGCUUUAAUUUUUUUUCUGACGAGCCGAGCCGGGCCGAGCUUUUUUAUCGAACAAAAUUUGUGUUCAAGCUCGGCUCGUUAACUAACGAGCCGAACACGAGCUUGUUCGCGAACAAAUACAAGCCGAACCGAGUAGAAUCGAGUCGAGCCGAGCCAGAAAAAAAAUAAGAACAAACCGCUAGUUGACUCUUAAAAUAGCUAACCAAAUAAUUUUAUUUUUUUUUAAACUUUGUUUAUAUCACUAAAAUGUAUAUAUGUUAACAUCCAUACGGUUGGAUCGGUAAGAAAUAUUUUUUAAAAUAUUGAAACACUAAAUUAGGAUUAAACACUAGUUAGCAGUACUAUUUAACCUUCUACUUGACUGUUAAAAUAGCAAACCAUAUAAAAUUAUUAUUUUCCGAAAUUUUGGUUACAUCACUGAAAUAUAUAUAUAUUAAUUAUAUGUUGAAUUCUGAGUUCAAUAACAUAUAUAAAUUAUAAAAAAAACCCCGAAAAUAUUACAUUUUUUCGAGCUUUAACGAGCCGAGCUCGAGCCGAGCGAGCUCGAGUCGAGCUCGAGCCGAGCUCGAGCCGAACAUACUAAAAGCUCGGCUCGAGCUCGUUUACUUAACGAACAAUUUUUUGUGUUCGUCCUCGAGCUCGUUAACUUAACGAGCCGAGCCGAACGAGCUCUUAACGAGCCGAGCUCGAGCUUGUUCGCGAACAGCUCGGUUCGUUAAGCAGCCCUAAAAAUGGUGAAACAAACUAGGGCUUAGAAAAUGGUACAAUUUGCGGUUUUGUAUCUAUUGGGCAUCUAUUUUGGUGUGCUAGUCAACUUGUAUGGUUCUUAAAGUUUACAACUUGAAACAGUUAAUAUCAAAUGUCAAAGUGAAAAUAUGUGUAGUUUUAACUUCACAAUAUUUUCUUGGUGCGGGCUAUGUAAGUUAUCUUUUACAUGGUGAAUCAAGUUAUGAUACUCAGAAUCAAUUAUGUUUCACUUUCGUAUUUUCCACCUGGUCGUAAGAUUUGUAGUUUUCCUUCGCUAUUGUAAAGGUUGUGUUCUAUUAAGGGUGAUAUAUGCGCACCCUAAAUUAAUUUAUGCACACUUUACCUUCUGUUUCAUAUCAAAUUACCCUUGUCUUUUAUCAUUUCAACCAAAUAUUUUAUUAAUUCAAAGGGGUAAUUUAGUACAAACUAGAUGAAAGGUGUGCAUAAAUAAAUUUAGGGUGUGCAUAAAUCAGCACCCAAUGUAUUUAGUGAUUCCACUGAUGAUAAUGUUAAGCAAUUAACAGGUAUUAAAAUGCUUUCAUUAUAAUGCAACUUUAUACUCCCUUUAUCCCAUUUUAACUGAGGUAAAAAAAACAAUAUCUACACCCAUUAAAAAAAAUUCAAUUUUUAUAUCAAAUAAAAGUUUAGAUUCUAAAAUUUUAAUUGAUGAUAUAAAUUUUAUAAACAAUAAUUAUGUUUAUAUGUGAUUUUCUUAACAUUUCAAAAUACAUGUAAAAAGGUCAAAAGUAGUUAAAAUGGGACGGAGGGAGUAUAUUUUUAUUCAAACUCGAGUCUCCCGUGAGUGGAGCUCUUAAUAUCAUGCGAAGUUAAUAUUCUCCUAAAAUCUCAAAAUGUUAGAUAGAAUGACUUAUAAAAAAAUUGAAGAAAAGUGGAGUUUUAUUAUAAGUUUUAUCCGUGUUACAUACUUACAUUGAAUAUCUGGUAGUAACGCAAAAAAUUUGGUCUCCUCUAUGUAUUUUUGCUGGCUUGGUCGAAUCAGUUGGAUUGCUGGUAUUUGAAUAAUCUAAUUUUUUCAGAAAUAAGAAUUUAUUUCUUGAGAAAAGUACAUAAAACUACUAUACUUUUUUGGUCUCCUCUAUGUAUUGUUUUAUUUUAUAAGUCGUUUAAGGUAUUUUCACACAUAUUAAAAAACUUCAUUGUUGCAUAAAAAAGUAUUUAUUAGUCAUUUCUUUUUCAUUAUUAUCCUCAUUUAAUGUCUCUUUUCUCUCUUUUUCUAUUGACUCAUAAUAUUAAAUAAGGGUGAUAAAAGUCAUUAGAUAAUUUAAAUUAUUCUUGAAAAAAAAAAAAGAACGACCUAUAUUUAUGAAUAAUAAUAUUUUCUAAAAUGAACUAUAAAAAAACAGAUGGAGUACUGUAUAUCAAGUGGAGAAGCAAGACUAAAGUGCAGUACUCCUAAGCCCACAUUGUACGGCGGUAGUACAUUUGAUUUUAUUCGGGGAAAACCAUGUUUAUGGAUUAUCUCAUCUGAAAGACCCUAUCCAUCAUCUUCCGAUUCUCAGAGUCUUGGCCUUCCAUUCCAUGCACUGCUCUGCACGUGCUUCUGUUUGAGAUCAAAAUCACCUGCCUUAAAAAAUUUGUUUCUUUUGUAGUCUAAUCUCUGUCCCAAUCAAAUAUAUACCUUAACUGUGCACGUAUUUUGAGAUUUUAAUAAAAUUUUGUUGUAAAAUACUUUUUAAAAUUUUUUUUUUUGAAUAAAAAUUUAAACCUCAAAUUUUUAUUCAGUUAAGGAAAAUUUUAAAUAAUGUUUUGUAAUUAUACUUUAACGAAGCCUUAAAAAAUAUACCAAAAAACAGCGUAUACAAUUCAUCAGACGAGCAACCGCCAACAAGAAACACCACCGACAAUAAUAAACAAGAUUAGAAUGCAUAAUAUUCUGCAUUGGUCGAUAACUAUCAUUAUUAAUUUCUUCCUGCUGCACCACCGACAAUAAUAAACAAGAUUAGAAUGCAUAAUAUUCUGCAUUGAUCGAUAACUAUCAUUAUUAAUUUCUUCCUGCUGAGAAUUGAAACCACGCCCUCUGGCAAUUCCAAAAUGUUCCCUUUUAUAUUUAGCAAAAAAUAAUGAAUGGUGCUCCCAUUUUUUGACUAACCCAAAAACUCGAUGAUGGGCAAAAAUUGCACUAAUAUUAGAAUGAUGGUGUUUAGACAAGUUCUUCAUUUCAAAUUUUAAAUAUUGAAAUAAUUAGAAAUAUAAUAUAUAACUAUAUGACAAACACUCUAAUUCAGCAAGAAUCUUAUUUUUUGUAUCAAUUUUUCAAUAAUUUCAGGUGAAUGGUAAUUUAAUAUAUAAUCAAAUUUUAAAUAUUGUAUAGUUUUUGUUUUAUAUUUUAAUAAAUUUCAUAAUAGUGAGGAUAUGAGUACAUAUAUACAUCAACAGAAGGGUCGUUUGGGUAAACUUUAAAAAAGUGACUUCUUUCUUCAAAUAAAAAUGUGCACUAUAUUCCGUCAAAAAAAAUGUGCAGCAUUAGUAAGAGGUAAGUCUAGACUUAAAAGUGAUUAAAAUUUUUUAAGGAAAAGUAGAAGUUCUGAAAAUAAAAGUUAGAAAUUUUGGCUUCUUACAGGUGUUUCUGACUUUUUACAAAAUUAUAAGCCGACUUUCUUAGAAAAAGAAGGCGGAAGCUGGGGCAGCCAAACAAACACAUGAUAUGACUUGAUAUACAAAAAAAUUACAUUUAAAUUACGUUUAUAACACAAAUAAUCUCAAUUUAAAAAUGAUGAACAAAGAGAUAUGAGAUAUAUUGAAAAAUAAUUGAAAGCAACCCGUGUUUUGCACGGGUUAAAAAGCUAGUUCUAAUUAAAGGGAAAAAAGCCAUCGACUAAAAUUGAACACGGAUGGGAAUUAUAAGAAGCAUAAGCAAACAAACUUUUCUCUACAAUAAAAGGUGAUGGGUUGAAGUCAAGAAAACACCGAUUCAUCUUUGUACAAAGUUAAAAAUACUAACGGCUCUUUGCUUAUAGCACUACAAGAAAACUCAUUUUAAUGACAGAAAUUCUGUUAACAUGAUAAGGAUUUUCGUUGGUAAAUCACCGCCAAGGGAAUGAUAAUGAAAAUAAUUGGUUGGCAUAUAGUUGAUCGGGAAGUUCAUGCUAACGGAACAAAUUCGUUGCUAAAUUGGUUUCUUUUGAUAAAAGAUGAUGGGUUGAAGUCAAGAAAACAAACACAACACUUUUACAGAAAGUUAAAAAUACUAACCGCUCUGUGCUUAAAGAGUGGCAUAAGUAAGCAGUUCUCCGUGUGCUAGAAAUUCCUUCAUUUCUUGCUCUUCUAAGCCAACAACAGCUCUAAUACCAUCAUUCGCGGUAUCCAUCAGAGUGAUGACAUCAACCAUCGGAGUGUCCACAAGCACAGCUUUAACCGGCUUUCCCCACCCGAAAUCCAUGAUAUCAUAUAGCGGGAAAUUACACAUGCUUGUAAUAACGUAGAACCUGUACUUGUGUUUUGUGAACUCAAGAAACUCAGUCUCCAUUUCGUGUCCUUCCAUACUCUUGAUUCCUUUUAGCUGUUCCCUCUCUUUCCUCAUUCGUGCUACCAACGUUCUGUACUUUUUGUCCGCCUCUGUGGUCGCUACAAUGUGGUUUAGAAUCUGGAAAUUCCCCACAGUUGUUUCUUGCAGUGGCGGAUCAAUCAUAUGCCUCACAUUGACAGCCCGCAUUAAAACGGAUCCAUUAUGCACUCCAGCAUUAGUCCUAUCUGCCACGCUUACAAGACAUCUGUAAAGGAGUGCAGUCAGAAGCUCGUUGCGGGUGUAUUUUUGAUCUUCCACUACUCCAUCCAGCUUAUCCUCGUUAUUCACCACAAUCUUCAGUUCUGCUAGCUUUGUGUUGGGAAACACUAAUUCCUUCGUCGUCCAAUUCUUAUCUGGAAAUAUGAUGGUUUCGAUGGCAUUAAUAUCAUAGGAUAGAGGCAGCAGAGCAUUCACCAGAACGGGACAGAGAUGUAACAGUUUUCGGUGAUCACCAGAAUGGAGUGACAGAGUGGCCCAAUACCUUAAAAGUGUGCAGGUAGUCAGAGCAUCACCCAGAAGGUGAGAAAGGCAAAAAAUUGCUGACGAAAAAAUGUACAAACUAGUAAAAAAUGAAAAUCACUUCUGGUAGUAAAAAAAGUCUAAACUAGAACCUAGUUCAGCCCAAUAUUUUAGCAUUAGUUUUAACUGCAAAAAUCACUAAUUUGUACAUUAUUAAUGAUUAAUUUUUAAAUAGAAAUAUCACAAAUAAAUAAAUAAAUAAAUAUAAUUAAAAAAUUAAAAAAAUCAUCAAUUUUCACCAAAAAGUCGUAUUUUCCCAACUAGUUCUACCAUGGAACCAUAUAUAUUUGUCCAAAGUGAUUUACUGUUCAAUAUCAAGUCUAAAAAAAUACACAUAAAACACUACCUUAAAAGUGUGCAGGUAGUAAGAGCAUCCCCAAGAAGGUGAGAAAUGCUAACUGCUACAGCCAUCCCUCCACAAUCGAAACGGUUGAGUUGCACAUACAUUAUAUUACCCGAAUGCUUCUCAGAAAACUGAUUCCGAAUUGUGCAAGGUGGAAACAGAUGGCCUAAUCCGUCUUCUUCCUUGACUGCAGCUCUAUCCUGAACCUCCGACAUAUUGCAUCCGAUUUGAGCCUCGAUAAAUUGAACGCCUUCAUCGUUACAAUCGACGUACGAUCCAGAGCAUAUCCUUCCUGCAAAUGGAUAGUACUUGGACAGUGUCUCCGACAAAGACUUCUUCAGUAGAUCUGAUGCAUUAUCAGGGACCCGUUCACGAAUGGGAUCAGAGUUGUUUUUGGGAUAGAAAAAAAUCAGUGGAAUAUAAAAAUUUGGAACCAUGCGAUCAUGUAAAGGAAUAUUGUAUCGUUUGAGGUUCGAGGGAGUUGGAGAAGCUGGUUUAAUGCUGCAGGAAGAUCUUGAGAUUACAUGCAGCUGCCUUCUAAAUACUAAUGACAACCUCAUCAAUCCUUUAAACGUCAUUUUUAACUUGCCAAACCAAACUUUGAUGUGUAUAUCAGAUAUGAGCUGGUUUAAUUGGGGUAUUUAUACAGAUUUAUAAGAGAAGAUUACAGCCCAUGCCAAAAGACUUGGCGGUUGAAGCUGGUGAGAUGAUAUAACUCCUGAUUAACCGGAAAUCAGGGAUUAAUCGUAAGGAUUAAUCAGAGUGAAAAUCGGUUUUAUUUUGAAUAUUAAAAUAUUAUUUUUAAUAUUUAUUUAUUACUAUAUUAAUUAUUUAAUAAUAAAUAUAUUUAAUAUAUCAUAAAUUUUAUAAUUGUUCAUAUUUAAAGUAAAUAAGUAGUAUUCAAUUUUAAUAAUUUAUUAUAUAUAUAUACUUCGCUUGAGAAAAAUUUAUACGGAUUAAUCGAAUUUUAAAAAUCGAAUCAAUCGGCCAUCUUGCAGGAGAUUAAUUGGGAAUUCAUCGAUAAAAUCAAUAAUUUUUAAAACACUGCCGGCAACUGUAAGUAUAAAAAAUAGGAAUAAACAAAGAGCACUGGGAACCACAUGCAAGUGAUUGUUUACUGCUGGUUCUACCGGUCUCUGCCAAAAACUCUGAUAAAUACCAGACAAAACUACCAGUCUCCCUUGCAUAAAAUAUCUAAGCUACAUAGGAAUCUUUUUAUGUCUAUGCUACAAGACAUUUUUUAUGACUUGGAUCCCAUUUCAUUUGUGGCAUUGCAGCAGUUCAUUCUUUAUUUCCUGAAUUUUCUCUAUAAUCUUUACCUCAUGCCUCUUAAUUUUUAUUCAAGAUAAUUUUUUUUGCAAAUUACUGUGGUUCUGCUUUUCUUAUCUUUUCUUCUUUUGGCUUUGCUGGUACUUUUCCUUUGCCAGUUUAAUUUUACCUUCAACUUUGAGAAAUAAAUGUAUUUAGUGAUUUCACUGAUGAUAAUGUUAAGCAAUAGGGUUCAAAAUGCUUUCAUUAUAAUGCUACUUUAUUUAUUUAUAUUCAAACUCGAGUCUCCAGCAAGGGGAGCUCUUAAUACCAUGUGAAGUUAAUAUUCUCCUAAAAUCUCAAUAUGUUAGAAAGAGUAAUUUUUUAUUAAAAAAAUUGAAGAAAAGUAGAGUUUUAUUAUAAAUUUUAUACGUGUUACAUUGAAUAUUUAAAAGUAAAGCAAAAAAUUUGGUCUCCGCUAUGUAUAUUUGCUGGCUUCGUCGAAUCAGUUGGAUCGCUGGUAUUGGUGAGAGCGUGAGACAUUAAAGGGAGAUGGGCUGAUCAGAUCAGCUUGGUUGAUAAUGUCUAAAUCCAAUUCCUUAACAAGGAAUUGAUUUUACUCAUGAAAAAAGAGUGAUUAAAAAAAAAGUUUGCAGAAAGUCAAGACUCAAACCCCAUUCUUAUCAAGUCUUCCACUACUCUAUGCACAAUUCAAAAUACACAAAGACCAACCAAAAAGUUCUUGGAAGUAAUCAAAUAAAUGAUACUCUCCAAGUUCUUGUUCUCAAAUCAAACAAGUUUUAUGGUCUUAUAAACACGAGUUCCAAGAUUGUACACCCAUUUCCUAGCUUGACUGCUUGAGAAUCAUUGAUCUUUCGUACAAUGAGUUUUCAGGUGCACUGCCAGAAGAAUAUUUCAGAAACUUUAAGGCUAUGAUGAAUGCGGAAGUGAAUAAGAUAUAUCGUAGCUAUAUGGAGCAAGAUUAUUACACUGAUUCCACAGCUCUAGUGAUUAAAGGCAUGGAAAUUAAUUUAAAAAGAAUAUUGACUGUGUUCACAACUAUUGAUGUAUCAAAAAACAAUUUUGAUGGGGAGAUAGCUGAAUACUUUGGAAAUCUGGUAUCACUCAGAUUUCUUAAUCUUUCUCACAAUUAUCUCACAGGCCAUAUACCACGCUCGAUUGGAAAAUUGACUGUGCUGGAGUCACUAGGCCUCUCAUCCAACCAACUUGAAGGAGAAAUUCCUCAGCAGCUCACUAGUGUAUAUUCACUUGCAGUUCUCAAUCUGUCUUGCAACCAACUUAGAGGACGUAUUCCAGAAGGGUGGCAAUUCGAUACGUUUGAAAACAGCAGCUACGCUGGUAACUUUGGGCUGUGCGGACAUCCCUUGUCGAACAAGUGUGAAUCUUAUGUUAGGACACAAAAAGAAGACGAAGAAGAUGAGGAUGAAUGUCACUUUUUCUGUGGUUUUACUUGGGAAGCAGUGGUGAUUGGAUAUGGGUGUGGAGUGGUGCCUGCAUUUAUCACUGGGUUACUGAUGUUGCUGGCACGGAAGCCAAAAUGGUUCGAUGGAAUCAUUGGCAGGGAAUUGGGGCUCAAGAUCAGGAGGAUGGAGAUUAGAAUGCGAUACUAAAGGUUUGCUGUAAUCUGUAUCCCAUUCCCAGGUCUUGAAUAUUCUGUAAUAAUAUAGUAAUAUGUGCUCUCAUAUAAUUCUAUAUUUGCAGAUUGGAGAGGCAUGAACAUUUUGGCAUGUAAGUUGAUGGGACAAGCAGGUUUCAGAUUCAUUGGAAUCAACCACUACUUCAGCUGUUUUGCAUCUUUUGUGAUUUUAAAUUUUACAUUUUACAAUAAAAGUAAAAAAGAUACAAGCUCCAUGGACAAGUUUUGUAUUGUGUAGUUCCAGCCUCAGGCUGAUGGUUUAUAAUGUACAAUUUACAAUAUAUCACAAUUUGUAAUAUACAGUACCAGAUGAUUUUAUGGCCAAAUUAUCCUUAAUCGCUUUCAUGAACUAAUGGAAAUUUGUAAAAGCGGGUCACAUUUGCAGUGAUGCCGCUAUUUUUCCUGAAUAUUCCUAGUUCUGAAGAUUGUCUAAAUCAUGUUAGUAGCUGCCAUCAGUGAAUGCAUUCAACGGCUUACUGAAACUGGUAGAGAUACUAAAUUCACAAGUUAUUGAUAGAAUAGAAGAUGACAGAGUGUCCAUGCGUCAGUUUAAGGAUCGAGAUGUGUAGCCGUGACUUGUAUUUUAAAAUUGCACAAGAUGCUUUACAAUGGUAGCAGAGGGCUGCGGAUUUAUUGGGUUAGUUGGAAGCACUCAAGUCGAAUUGGUUGUAGCAGAGCAAGAAGCUGAGCACGACCAUAAGAAUUUGAACUCUGAGGCUAAUUUGACUCUACUUGUAAGCCUUCCACUAGACAGCAAGGUUAGGAGAAAGAUUGAGUCGAUGUAAGCCUUCCUCUGACGCCUGUGACAGAUCAAUGAGGCAUGAAAGUUGGGAACAGGGGACGAUUGGCGUAUUGGAAUGGAAGUGGAAAACUUCUUCAGAGCCUGAUGCUCUCGGAGAUACAAUCUAAUGAAAAAGCGUAAUGAUGAUCAUGACUCCGCCCUUGCUCUAAAUCAGUAAGAUCAACCUCUCUACACAAUUCACUAAUACCACCUCUUUAUAACAUUCUCACUCCUAGGUGAUGAAUAAAGUAUCAAGAAACAUAUUUUGUAUAAUGAAUUAUAUUUUUUAUUAUAUUCCUUUUUUUAAAAUAUAUUGCGUAUUACACUGUUUAUUAAUUCUAUUUGAAGCAAUUAAUUAAUUUUUAGCCGUAAUUUAACUUUCAAGGUAGCAUUAUCAGCAUGAGGAAUAGGCAGAGCUUCCAGAUGCUCUCUUCUGAUAGAUAUCAUUCAGCACUUGCUCUGAGUUUGUUGAUCAACCACGCGAUGUUGUAGGCAGCUCCUAUCUUAUCUGCAAUCAAGUUAAUGAACCACUACCUCAGUUGUUAAGCAUCUUUCAACAUUUCACAUUUUUGAGCAUUUAAUUAAUUAGUCAUCAGUCUUGUAUUUAGCUUGAUCGAACAUAAUUGUUCUCUUCAAUUUCUUUGCCUACUUGUCGACGUGUUUAUGUAGCGUGUCUCUACUCUGUAGCUUACACAUCAUUGAUUCAUGUUAUUUUCCCCUUAGGAACUUGAGAGACAUUUGGCAUCAAAAGAAGCUUCUCUCCCGCAAGAACCAUUUUCCCCUUAUGAACAUUUGACAUUUUGGUGUUGCUGAGAGCGCAGCGACUUUUGAUGAACUCGGCCUGUCUGGCAGACAGGAGGCCUUGUUUCUGGAGUUAAUAUAGCGGAUCUCGAAGAGUUUACCCAGAUGGACCAACUUUGUUUGUUAGUUGGAUGUAAAAGUUGUUUAGAGACGGGUAUUUUGUCGAAGUUUGUAUCUAUUGGGUAUUUCGUCUUUUAGUCAGACUAUGGCUCAUACAGUUUCAUACAGUUUGAAGUUGAUAUCAAAUCUUAGAUUAAAUUACUGAACAUUGUUUCUUGAAUUCGAUAUCGAAUUUUAAACGAAAAUAUGUUCAGUUCUAAUUUAAAAGUUAUGCAAAUUACAUUAAUAAUAUGUGGCCCUGUUUGUUUACCAAAAGCAGAAGCUGCUUCUGGCUUCUGCUUUUCUUGACCCGUUUGUGUAAAGAAGCAGAAGCACUUUUAAUAAACUGAGAAUCCUAACUUCUCUCUCACAGCUUCGGCUUCUUUUCCAAACACUUUAUUCACUUAUUUACUUCUCACUUCUGCUCCACUUCUCUAGUUUAAGCAAGAAGUCACUUCUUUUAAGCUUGCCCAAACGGCCCCAUAAUCUAUUUUGAGUCUCUUGGUCUUCGGUCUUCUAUUGCAGCAUAUCAUGCACAUCUCAAAUGAUUGAAAAUGAACUCUCUCCAAAAGACAAGGGGGUCUGUUGAAGUAGACCUGGAAUUGAUUUUACUUGAAGAAACAAUAAUAGGUCACCUUUUAAAGUUUUGGUCUUUGUCUUUUAUCUCUUAAAGUCUUUGUCGUUUACAUCUCAUACAAUUUGCUAUCGUAUUUAACACUUCACACAAUUCCAUGCUAUCGUAUUGAACACUUCACACAAUUCCAUAAUAUUGAAGAUUUUUGGCUUGAAAUAUUCUAGAGAAUAAGGUUGUACAUAAAAUUCAAUAAUUUAUUUCCUUUCCUUCAAUAUUACAACUCAUAUAUUUGUUGCCAAUGACUCAUUCAAUUCGCAUCAAUUAUUAUCAUCUUCACUUUAUCAAAGAGUCUUGCUCUUCGUCCUUUACAUGCUUUUAUUACGAUCCCCAUGUGCUUUGAAAAUACUUGUGUUAUAGUCCACAUCAAUCAAUACUCCUUAUUAAUAAGCGAAACCACAUUUCAGUGGAACAUCGGUACUAAAAGUACCAAAUUUGAUCAUCUUAUAUCAUAUUUAAUUAUUAUUAUUAUUAUACUCCUAUUAAAAGUAUUAUAUUAUCCUUAGGAGAUUUAUAUUGGUCAGGAAUUUAUAAUAUUUUAAGAUAUUAUAAUUAAAGACGACUUCUAUAAUUAUUAGGAUUUUAUAAUUAAUAUAAACUUCUUACUUAAUAAUGAUAAUCAUUAAACUAUUUUGAAAAAAUGUCGUAUUGGUUAGAAUUUUAUAAUUUUAUUAUAUUAUAAUGAAAAGACUUUCAUAUUUAUUAUGAUUUUAUAAGUAAAUACUUUAAUAUUGGUUAGGAUUUUAUAAUUAUCUUGAUAUUGAUUAGAAUUUUAUAAUUAAAGACUUCAAUGUUAUACUAUUAAAAAAAGAUUUCUAACGUUGUUAGGAUUUUGGAAUGCAACAGUUAUACCACCAAUAAAAUUAUUUAUUUUAAAUUCUUUAAACUCAAAUAAUUUAAUUUAUGAAACAACUCUGUAAAACUCCUAUCAUAUUUCAGCAUUCAAAUAAAUAAAGAUUUAUAUUGAUAUUACUUUUUAUUAAUAUGCCAUAUUUUUCUUUAGUGGAAGAACAUGAGUACCAAAUACCGAAUUAUCAAAAUUUGGUUAAUAUCAUGUAAUUUUAACAUUGUCGUACUCUUCACAAUAUAAUAAUAUUAUUAUAAUAACGGAAAGGGGGUGGUAGCACUAUCAUGAUAAAUGCAAAUUCCAAUGAGAAUAAAAUUACUGUGAAAAUUUUAUAAAUAAAUUAAUUUUAAAUUUAUUUAAUUUAUAAUCUCUAUUAUAGUUUUAUAUUAAUUUGAAAAAUAUCUAUUAAUAUUGAAUAUACAAGAACUUCAAUUAGUGUUACACUUAAUAAUAUUUAUUAGACGUCUAAAAUAACUAUGAACUAAAAAAAUUAAGUUUUAUUAAAAAUGGUUGAAUUUUUUUUCCAUCUAUUUAGAAUAAAAACAACAUAAUAAUUUUAUUAAAAUGAAACUUACCAUUUUAAAAUAAAUUCAUAUAAUAACAUAUAUCCUGAGAAUGUUUAUUUUGAAAAAUAAAACUUAAACAUAAUUAAAUAUUAAUAUGUUAAUGCAUAAUAAGUUUUGUAUCUCAACAAUAAUAAUUUAAAUAACUAUAUCAAAAAUAUUAUAAUUCCAAUAAAUAAUAAACUUAAAAAAUUUAUAUAAUCCCGUGCUUGGCACNCAAAAAUAUUAUAAUUCCAAUAAAUAAUAAACUUAAAAAAUUUAUAUAAUCCCGUGCUUGGCACGGGUUAUAGACUAGUAUUGAUAAAUAGACAAAUUACAAUAUUUAGUUCAUUAAUGAAGAGAUAAGACAUUCAUGUGUAUGUAUUUGAAAAAUAAAAUAUUAUGAAGCUAAAUGAAUAAACACUUCUGAAAAGUAAAACCCGUUUCUGGUCCAUUUUGUAGCUUGAAGAAAUGAAGCAGAAGUCAAGAUUUCCUUGAAGAAACAAAAUUUUAUAAAAGUUAAAAACAAUUCGAUAAUUAUUGUCUUUUUAAAAAACGGAGCACGCAACACUCUUUUAUAUCAUAUUUCAAUUCUUAGAGUCUUCCUUCUACUACUCCAAAAGUGGUUCUAUUAUAGGCCACAUAUUAAUAGAUCGAUACAAAUUUAUUAAAAAGAUCCUUAUUUUCAACAAUCAAUAUCAGUUUGACUACAAAUUUAUCUGAAAUGACCCUUGUUAAUGGACUCUAGCUUAUAGGGUCAAACUUGGCUAUACAUGCCUCGGAGAAAAUUCACCAGUUCGUAGAAGAGACCUUUCUGCUAUCAACUCUAUGAAAAAUGCAGCACUUAUCAUCUAAAUAAAAAUCAGUAAGACUAUCUUAGAUUCUCUGAAGUGUUUAUAUUGCAGCCGCUUGUAUUGAAUACACACAUAAAUAACCACACAUAAUCAGCAAGGUUCGAAUUUUUUUGGUUUAACCAUAUCACCAACAUGAAGAAAAGACUUUCAAGCGUCAUAAUAGCUAAGAGCUUUUAUUUUCAGGAUAACCCCGGUCUAGAUUAUUAUAAAAAACUUGUUUAUAUGGAGACAUAAUAAAGGUCCCAGAAUUUUUUACUCUUCAAGAUUUCCGUUUCUAGCCAAAUUUUUUGACCAUAAAUAAUAUAUUGGUUUUACCUGAAAACAAAAUUUAAAGAAAAUUCAAAUUUUUUUAUUACUUCUUUUCUUUUAUUAUUACUUCUUUUCUUUUAUUUUGAAAUUGCAAAACAGCUCAAAGUAGUUCUAAAAGAAUCAUUCUCCCCGCUAGAAUCAGUUACAAUUAAGGUUGACAAGAUGUUUUAGCUGCGAGUUCUUCAAAUUAUUGCUCGUAAGGUCCACGACAGCUUAGAUAGUCACCAAAACUUUGGCCUGUGGAUUAAGUUGAUGAAAUCUAGUGUAUUAGAAUCAAUGACAGCACUAUUUUAUGGGAUUGAUGCUCACUCUUCAUAUUAUGUGUUUUUCUAAUGUGUGUGUCCAAAUACACACAAUAAACACUAAAUUUGAUAAAAAAUCGUAAUAUUAGUCAUUCCGCUCAUAAAUUUCAAGUGGAGAAGAAAGAGUUUCUCAAAAAAAAGUGGAGAAGAAAGAGCAUCGUGAUUGUCAUUGUACCCUUAAAAUUUGUUCGAUUAGGUUUUUUACAUAGUUUGCGCGUGGUCAUCUGGGUAUGCCUUCAUUAUAUUAAGCCAAUCUAGUAAUUCCAUAUUAAACAAGUUUAAAAUUUUCAAAUUUUGAUCUUAAUAAAAUUGAAAAAAUAGUGAACUUUUUCUUAUUUAUGAUAUUAACAAAUCUCUUACUUUUUUAUUACUGUAUUCAACUAAAUAUUUUUUACAAACCCUCAUAAAUGCAUCACAUCAGUUAUGAAAUUUAAAACAAAUAUAUCCAAUUUCUUCGAGAAAGAUGGUUGUAUAAUUUUUAAUUAAAAAAUUUAAUUAUUUUUAUUUUUAACAUAAUUUACAACUAAAAAAAUAUUAUAUGUUCACUGCUUUGUAAUAUAAUUAAAUAUAUCUUAAAUACAGUUUUUCCUAUAUAUAUGCUAACCUCGAGAGACGUUGAAGAUCAUCCCAAACAAAAUUUGAAAGGGAAAAUGAAAAUGAGGAAUUGCAACCUCUGUUUUUUCACCAUCAGUAUGAUGCUCAUCUUCUUGCAGUUGCAGCACCACCUGGUGGCUUGUUCAUUAAGCCCCCACUUGCAGAAACUUGCCUUGUUCCACUUUAACCAAACCUUCACAAUCACUCCUGGGGAUUGCGAGUAUUAUUCCUACAAAGACGAAGAAUUUUACGAAAUUCCUUCACGGGCAAAGACAAAGAACUGGAGCAUGAGUUCUGAUCACUGCACAUGGGAUGGAGUUAGCUGCGACGACAAGACGGGGGACGUAAUUGGACUGGAUUUAACUUGCGGUCAGCUGGUAGGAGCCAUACACUCAAACAGCACUCUUUUCCAACUCUCUCAUCUUCGCUUCCUCGACCUUUCUUACAAUGACUUUUCCCUCUCCGAUCAGUUCCCUCAGGAAUUUGGCUUCUUUGCAAAAGGAUUGACGCAUCUCAACCUCUCUCGUACUGGAUUAUCAGGGAGAGUUACCUCAGGAAUCUCUCAUUUGCAUAAACUGGUCUCACUUGAUCUCAGUGAGAACUUUGAAGCUGAACUUGAAGCAGAAGUGUUUAAAUCACUAUUGCAGAAUUUAACGCAUCUCAGAGUGCUUAAUCUUCAUGAAGUUAACAUCCCAUCUGUUUUGCCGGUGAAUAUCUCUACUUCUCUAAGAGUUCUUCAAUUGUCGUAUACUCAUAUACACGGAGUAGUACCGCAAGAAGUUUUCCACCUUCCCAACUUGGAAUUACUUGAUUUAUCAAAUAAUCACGACCUGAGAGCUACAUUAUCCAAAGUUAAGUGGGGAAGUAAAGCUACUCUCCAAUACCUUCAUCUUUCAUACAUCAACAUAGAUGGAGGUAUACCUGACUCAAUAGGCUUUUUGGAGUCAUUAGUCAGUUUAGAUCUGCUCGACUGUAAUUUGUCUGGGACGAUGCCAAGAUCCAUUGGACACCUCGUUCAACUUACUCACUUGGACCUCUCUUUUAAUAAUCUCAAUGGCCCAAUUCUAACUUUUUUUACAAACCUUACUGACUUAAGAUAUAUGUCCCUUGGGCUUAACAAUUUUACUGGUCCGUUUCCCUCUUUUCUUGCCCACUCUAGUAAACUAGUUGAGUUGUAUCUUUAUGGUAAUAGGUUUACUGGAUCCGUACCUCGUUCGUUGUUUCACCAUCCAUCGUUAGAGUUCUUGAAUUUGGCAUAUAAUGCAUUCACAGGUCAACUCCAUGAAUUUGAUUCUUCUCGAUCUCGGCUGCAAUCUUUUUCUUGUUCCAGCAAUUUACUCUAUGGAUCCAUUCCUCAUUCAUUUUCUCAACUUGUGAAUCUCACUGAACUAGACUUUUCAUCAAACAGUUUCAGCGGGGUUUUGGAUUUGGAAAUGUUUUCAGGCCUCGGAUUUCUAAAACGUCUUGAUCUUUCUCAUAACAGUCUUUCAGUGAGAAGUACAAUUACGGACACUCUCCCUCCCAAUCUUUACCACUUGGACUUGUCAUCAUGUAACAUGAAAGAGUUUCCUCACUUUUCAAGAGAUGCACACAUCUUCCUGGAUUUUGUAGACCUAUCAAACAAUGAAAUUGAAGGGGAAAUUCCACACUGGAUUGGGUCGAUAGGGAGGUACUCUGUCUACUAUCACAUCCCCUAUCUGAAUCUUUCUCACAACAAACUAAUAGGCGGUCUUGAGCAAUUGCCUUGGGGUCAUAUUAGGUUUCUUGAUCUCCAAUACAAUAAGCUGAAUGGAUCAUUGCCCACCUUGAUGUGUAAUUCCAGCUCUCUUUAUAUUCUAAAUCUCUCUCACAACAAUUUGAGUGGUGUACUACCCAGUUGUCCUACAAAUUUGACUCGUCUUUCAGUGUUGGAUCUGCGGAGGAAUAAAAUUCAGGGAAACAUUCCAGCAACCUUGUCAAAUUUCCGUAACCUGGAAACUAUUAAUUUGAAUGGAAACCGAUUACAAGGAAGCAUUCCUUCUUCUUUUGCUG
rnacentral:lncRNA from 1 species